AAUUCCUGAUGAGGGCAAUUCUUGAUCAUCAUAUUAAAUCGUUCAAAUGCCUCAUGAAACAUCUCACCUUGUUGUUGUUGAAAACUUCUCAACCCUUUCCUAGCAUC
rnacentral:snoRNA from 1 species